GUCAGGAUGUCCGAGUGGUUAAGGAGUGAGACUUGAAUUGCCUCGCGCAUCGAAAUCUCAUGGGUUCGCCCGCGCAGGUUCGAACCCUGUUCCUGACG